UAUGGCAGACUAGUGCACAGGACUUAAAAUCCUUAUAUAAAGAUUUAUCUUAUCUUUUAUUAAAA
rnacentral:tRNA from 1 species